rfam:Fukomys damarensis contig107371, whole genome shotgun sequence.
UGAUUGGUUUUUUUAAAAACCUUCCACAUUCACAAAAACUGGUUGU